GUAAGGAAUAUUGGACAAUGGACGCAAGUCUGAUCCAGCCAUGCCGCGUGAAGGAUUAAGGUCCUCUGGAUUGUAAACUUCUUUUAUAAGGGACGAAAAAAGGCUUUUCUAAGUCGUCUGACGGUACCUUAUGAAUAAGCACCGGCUAACUCCGUGCCAGCAGCCGCGGUAAUACGGAGGGUGCAAGCGUUAUCCGGAUUCACUGGGUUUAAAGGGUGCGUAGGCGGGCAGGUAAGUCAGUGGUGAAAUCCUAGAGCUUAACUCUAGAACUGCCAUUGAUACUAUCUGUCUUGAAUAUUGUGGAGGUAAGCGGAAUAUGUCAUGUAGCGGUGAAAUGCUUAGAUAUGACAUAGAACACCUAUUGCGAAGGCAGCUUACUACGCAUAUAUUGACGCUGAGGCACGAAAGCGUGGGGAUCAAACAGGAUUAGAUACCCGUGUAGUCC
rnacentral:rRNA from 1 species